CGCUGGCGGCAUGCCUAACACAUGCAAGUCGAACGAGAAAGUUCCUUCGGGAGCAAUUAAAGUGGCGCACGGGUGAGUAACGCGUAGACAAUCUGCCCUUCAGUCUGGGACAACUUUUCGAAAGGAGAGCUAAUACCGGAUAACAAUGCAUGACACAAGUUGUAUAUUUGAAAGCUUUAUGUGCUGAAGGAGGGGUCUGCGUCCCAUUAGCUAGUUGGUAAGGUAAAGGCUUACCAAGGCAACGAUGGGUAGCGGGUUUGAGAGGACGAUCCGCCACACUGGAACUGAGACACGGUCCAGACUCCUACGGGAGGCAGCAGUGGGGAAUAUUGCACAAUGGAGGAAACUCUGAUGCAGCAAUGUCGCGUGAGUGAAGAAGGCCCUUGGGUCGUAAAGCUCUUUUAUGGGGGAAGAUGAUGACGGUACCCCAAGAAUAAGCACCGGCUAACUAUGUGCCAGCAGCCGCGGUAAUACAUAGGGUGCGAGCGUUGUUCGGAAUUACUGGGCGUAAAGGGCGCGCAGGCGGAAUAGUAAGUCGGAGGUGAAAGCCCGGGGCUCAACCCCGGAGGGUCUUUCGAAACUACUAAUCUAGAGAGGGUCAGGGGCCGGCAGAAUUCCUGGUGUAGAGGUGAAAUUCGUAGAUAUCAGGAGGAAUACCGGUGGCGAAGGCGGCCGGCUGGGGCCACUCUGACGCUGAGGCGCGAAAGCGUGGGGAGCAAACAGGAUUAGAUACCCUGGUAGUCCACGCCGUAAACGAUGAGCACUGGACGUCCGGAGGGUUCGACCCUUCUGGGUGUCUCAGCUAACGCAUUAAGUGCUCCGCCUGGGGAGUACGGUCGCAGACUACCUAUAAAGGGAUGCG
rnacentral:rRNA from 1 species